rnacentral:rRNA from 1 species
CUUGGAACAGGUAUUUCCCGCAAGGGACGGGAGUCGAGGUGCUGCAUGGCUGUCGUCAGCUCGUGUCGUGAGAUGUUGGGUUAAGUCCCGCAACGAGCGCAACCCUUGUCUUCUGUUGCCAUCGGGUUAUGCCGGGCACUCUGAAGAGACUGCCGGUGACAAACCGGAGGAAGGUGGGGAUGACGUCAAGUCAGCAUGGCCUUUAUGUCUUGGGCUGCACACAUGCUACAAUGGCCAGUACAAAGGGCUGCAAUACCGCAAGGUGGAGCUAAUCCCAAAAAGCUGGUCUCAGUUCGGAUUGGGGUCUGCAACUCGACCCCAUGAAGUCGGAAUCGCUAGUAAUCGCGGAUCAGCACGCCGCGGUGAAUACGUUCCCGGGCCUUGUACACACCGCCCGUCACAUCACGAAAGCCGGUUGUACUAGAAGUCGCCACACUAACCCGCAAGGGAGGGAGGCGCCUAAGGUAUGGUCGGUGAUUGGGGUGAAGUCGUAACAAGGUAGCCGU